ACGGGAGGCAGCAGUGGGGAAUAUUGGGCAAUGGGGGAAACCCUGACCUAGCAACGCCGCGUGAAGGAAGAAGGCCUUCGGGUUGUAAACUUCUUUUACCAGGGACGAUAAUGACGGUACCUGGAGAAGAAGCAACGGCUAACUACGUGCCAGCAGCCGCGGUAAUACGUAGGUUGCAAGCGUUGUCCGGAUUUACUGGGUGUAAAGGGCGUGUAGGCGGAGCUGCAAGUCAGAUGUGAAAUCCCGGGGCUCAACCCCGGAACUGCAUUUGAAACUGUAGCACUUGAGUAUCGGAGAGGCAAGCGGAAUUCCUAGUGUAGCGGUGAAAUGCGUAGAUAUUAGGAGGAACACCAGUGGCGAAGGCGGCUUGCUGGACGACAACUGACGCUGAGGCGCGAAAGCGUGGGGAGCAAACAGGAUUAGAUACCCUGGUA
rnacentral:rRNA from 1 species